UACGGAAGGCAGCAGUGGGGAAUAUUGCACAAUGGGCGAAAGCCUGAUGCAGCUAUGCCGCGUGUAUGAAGAAGGCCUUAGGGUUGUAAAGUACUUUCAUCGGGGAGGAAAAAACAAAACUAAUAAUUUUAUUUCUUGACGUUACCCGAAAAAGAAGCACCGGCUAACUCCGUGCCAGCAGCCGCGGUAAUACGGAGGGUGCUAGCGUUAAUCAGAAUUACUGGGCGUAAAGAGCACGUAGGUGGUUUUUUUAAGUCAGAUGUGAAAUCCCUGGGCUUAACCUAGGAACUGCAUUUUGAAACUGAAAUACUAGAGUAUCGUAGAGGGAGGUAGAAUUCUAGGUGUAGCGGUGAAAUGCGUAGAUAUCUGGAGGAAUACCUGUGGCGAAAGCGGCCUCCUAAACGAAUACUGACACUGAGGUGCGAAAGCGUGGGGAGCAAACAGGGAUUAGAUACCCCUGUGACGU
rnacentral:rRNA from 1 species